rnacentral:rRNA from 1 species
UACGUAGGUCCCGAGCGUUGUCCGGAUUUAUUGGGUUUAAAGGGUGCGUAGGCGGCCCGUUAAGUCCGGGGUGAAAGCCCACAGCUCAACUGUGGAACUGCCCUGGAUACUGGCGGGCUUGAGUCCAGACGAGGUUGGCGGAAUGGAAGGUGUAGCGGUGAAAUGCAUAGAUACCUUCCAGAACCCCGAUUGCGAAGGCAGCUGACUAGGCUGGUACUGCCGCUGAGGCACGAAAGCGUGGGGAGCGAACAGG